rnacentral:rRNA from 1 species
CUCAGCAAAGCUCUCGGACCAAGGACAAGAGAUCUCUCCACGUAUGAGAAGGAGUACCGGGAAAUGGUCCUUGUUGUAGACCAAUGGCGAGCUUAUCUGCAAUUUUCUGAAUUUAUUAUCAAAACGGACCAAAAAAGUCUGGUACACCUCGAAGAGCAACGCUUGCACACCCCUUGGCAACAAAAGGCCUUCACCAAACUAUUGGGUCUCUAGUACAGAAUUUGCUAUCGUAAAGGGUCGUACAAGUGCAGCAGAUGCCCUCUCCAAGAGACCCCUUGA